UGGGGAAUAUUGCACAAUGGGGGAAACCCUGAUGCAGCGACGCCGCGUGAAGGAAGAAGUAUCUCGGUAUGUAAACUUCUAUCAGCAGGGAAGAAUUAGGACGGUACCUGACUAAGAAGCCCCGGCUAACUACGUGCCAGCAGCCGCGGUAAUACGUAGGGGCAAGCGUUAUCCGGAUUUACUGGGUGUAAAGGGAGCGCAGGCGGUCUGGCAAGUCUGAUGUGAAAUCCCGGGGCUCAACCCUGGAACUGCAUUGGAAACUGUCAGACUAGAGUGCCGGAGAGGUAAGUGGAAUUCCUAGUGUAGCGGUGAAAUGCGUAGAUAUUAGGAAGAACACCAGUGGCGAAGGCGGCUUACUGGACGGUAACUGA
rnacentral:rRNA from 1 species